rnacentral:lncRNA from 1 species
ACAAAAAGAAGAUUCUAACAUUUAGUUCUCUGUUCUAGGCCAAGAUGUAGUGAUGCAGCUUGAAUUAACUUCUCCAUUGUGGAUUGGGUCCUUGAAGCAAAGAUGUUGAUAUCUGGAAUCCACAAUGACUAGAAAAAACUCUACUUCAAGAGGACAUUUGUAGCAUUGGAAGGACAUUCGAAAAUGUUGGUUUUCAUCUUCGCUAUAAAGAUUGUCAUGGAGCACCUCUGAAGGAGAGCAGUGUGAGGCAAGCUAAACAUAUGGUUGAACAGGAAAAGCUCCAGAAAAGUGAACUCCUUCUUUUCUUAACUAAUGGACCAAUCAGCAGCUUUCUUCACCCUGAGCCUGCCCUAACUAUCCUGAUAUAACACAGAUACCACUCUUAGUACUCAUCAAAGUCUACUCUAGGAAACUAUGAAUGGAAAAAAUAUUGAAAUAAAUUAAGGAAAACAGAUGUUAGCUUACUUAAA